GAUGAACGCUGGCGGCGUGCCUAAUACAUGCAAGUCGAGCGAACAGACGAGGAGCUUGCUCCUCUGACGUUAGCGGCGGACGGGUGAGUAACACGUGGAUAACCUACCUAUAAGACUGGGAUAACUUCGGGAAACCGGAGCUAAUACCGGAUAAUAUAUUGAACCGCAUGGUUCAAUAGUGAAAGACGGUUUUGCUGUCACUUAUAGAUGGAUCCGCGCCGCAUUAGCUAGUUGGUAAGGUAACGGCUUACCAAGGCAACGAUGCGUAGCCGACCUGAGAGGGUGAUCGGCCACACUGGAACAGAGACACAGUCCAGACUCCUACAGGGGGCAGCAGUAGGGAAUCUUCCGCGAUGGGCGAGAGCCUGACGUAGCAACGCCGCGUGAGUGAUGAAGGUCUUCGGAUCGUAAAACUCUGUUAUUAGGGAAGAACAAAUGUGUAAGUAACUGUGCACGUCUUGACGGUACCUAAUCAGAAAGCCACGGCUAACUACGUG
rnacentral:rRNA from 1 species